rnacentral:SRP_RNA from 1 species
UACCAGCCGGGGGAGCAGCGGGUCCUUGUACCUGAAGUCCGCUAUAGCAGGGGUGGAUUCCUAUUUUGAGGGCUGCAGCUGUGUGGUCUGCGCCGCAGCAGACUGUGAUGAGGAAUGGGUCUUGCGCGAUCGGCGGCUGUGAACCAUGUCAGGUGGGGAACCAAGCAGCAUUAAGCAGUGCAGUCGAUGCGCCGCGAGAUCGCCUGUUCUGAACAGAAUGCGCGGUGGCGCACAUAGAUGUACGCUCG